rnacentral:tRNA from 5 species
GCCGCGUUGGCUCAGUGGUAGAGCGUAUCACUAGUACUCCUAGUACAAAAGACAUGAUAAGGUCCAAGGUUCGAUCCCUUGACGUGGCA